UACGUUGGGUGCAAGCGUUAAUCGGAAUUACUGGGCGUAAAGCGUGCGCAGGCGGUUGUGCAAGACAGAUGUGAAAUCCCCGGGCUCAACCUGGGAAUUGCAUUUGUGACUGCACGGCUAGAGUGUGUCAGAGGGGGGUAGAAUUCCACGUGUAGCAGUGAAAUGCGUAGAGAUGUGGAGGAAUACCGAUGGCGAAGGCAGCCCCCUGGGAUAACACUGACGCUCAUGCACGAAAGCGUGGGGAGCAAACAGG
rnacentral:rRNA from 1 species